UACGUAGGGUGCAAGCGUUAAUCGGAAUUACUGGGCGUAAAGCGCACGUAGGCGGCUUUUAAGUCAGGGGUGAAAUCCCGGGGCUCAACCCCGGAACUGCCCUUGAAACUGGAGAGCUAGAAUCUUGGAGAGGCGAGUGGAAUUCCGAGUGUAGAGGUGAAAUUCGUAGAUAUUCGGAAGAACACCAGUGGCGAAGGCGACUCGCUGGACAAGUAUUGACGCUGAGGUGCGAAAGCGUGGGGGAGCAAACAGG
rnacentral:rRNA from 1 species